GCUGCUACCUGUCUGCCCUGGGCGCCUGUGCGGCCUGAGGUCUCAGGGCAGAGGGCGGCACGCAGGCACUCCCCUGCAUUCGGAAACAGAGACGAGUGCUCACGGAGACACGCACGGACAGGCACACAUGCUCCCCGACGGACAAGCUCAGGCUUAUACGGAACCACAGCCAUCGACACCGAGACACACCCGUCCAGCACUCCGACAAACACCCUGGCUCUCGCGCACCCAGGCUGACAGGCGCAAAGUCACCCCUGCCCAACAGAGAGAUAAACACAGCGGCACCCAGAAGCGGAAAGGCAUGGGCGCACACGGGAAGAAGUAAACACACAGUGCUCCCUUGGAGGCAAGCGGAGCGCCCCAUUCAGGUUCUCCAAAACCUUCAUCCAUGCACCCCGACCUCCACCCUCACACACGCACAGGGACACAGACAUAUUCCCUUUCAAACAUUUGGCAAGACCACAGGAGGUGACUUCAACGGCUGCCGAUUCCCUCAGCACGGUGGCUAUCAAGUACUUUGGGUUCCCUCCUUGGAAAUCUGCAGGCAUUGAGACAUACAAUUUCACCCUUUGGGUUUCAUUUGGAGCCAAGUGUUGUGUCAUCGUAUGCAGAAAGGGAUGGAGCUGGGAAGAAGCACUACAACUGGAAUUGGAAUGCCCAGGAGCCUGAGUGUGGGCUAGGCAGCAUCCACGGGCCUCCCUGUUCCAACCUGCACAAGCCUGCGGUGGGCCGGAAGCACCUUGGGGGCCACUGAGUAGGUAAGUUCCUGAUUCCAAAGAGCUGCUGAGGACUUGGCCAGCAGAAACCAUCCGUGCCCUGCCCGACAACUCGGCUGCGGUGUC